AUUGUCUUUUCACACAGAUAGUUUUAUGAAGAGAUGUCCAUUUGGAAGUUUCAAGGUAUUUGUUCACUGGGUUAGCAUUUUUUGGGAUGACCACUAUCUACAAAAAGAUAACCACAGCUUUUCUCCUUUUUUGACCAAGACUUUGAGUAUAAGAAAAUAGCAAUGAACAGCAACUGGCAACUAUAGCUUCAGAUCAAAGAACAACUUCCCAUGGGUACAGUGCAGACACCACUAUUGGUUGUAAAAUGUCAGGAAGGGCCAUUGAUAACAUAAUUUUAGAAACAGGAUAUCAGUAUAGAUUAGUUACAUCAUAGGAGUCCGAUCAUCCAAGCCCUCUUGUGUCAAAAUCAUAGAUAGAUGUUUGGAGGUUAAAUAGCAAUUUUUAAAAAAUCUCCAAGAUUUACUUUUCACAGCUGGAUUUUUCUAGCAGUGACUAUAACAGAGUAACAUUUCUUCUCUGCUACUUUCUUGGUAGUCCAUUGAAAACUGUAUCCACAGGAAAUGAUUCCCUUGGUUCAGUUAUACAAUAAAGUUCGCCAAAUGUUUGAGCUAUCGCGUAACUGCAGUUCAGCUCUAGAAAAUGAGGCGUCCUUGUAGUAGAAACAUAGGCUUUGGGAGACAGACAACCUAGAUAGAGCCUAUUUUGUGUUCUGCCACCAAACCGAAUUUUAGGCGUCAGUUAAUCCUGGGUAUCAGAUGUUUUUCACCUACUUUGAGGGCUUAGAUGCACCGCGUUGCACUAGAGUAUGAUGACAGAUCGGGACAUUUGGGAGGUUAUUUCACCAAAUGUUCACAUUCAUGGGGGCGGGGGGCGUGUUAAACCGUGCGUUCCGUCUGCCUCCAGCCAGAGCUAACAGGGGCUGCGAGACCACUGCCUGUCAAUCUACCGGGAAACCAGGAACCCGGCACUGCGGGAUUUCGGGCAGGGCUCCUCCCGCUCCAAACUAAACUUAUUUUGCCCACCGCGACAGGACCUAAGGAAAUCACGGGGUCGAAGGGGCCAAACCCGCACUUCUGGAAAGAGUGCCCACGAGGUGCCUUCGUGGGGUUGAGAGGUACAUUCCUAGUCAGUAAGCAUCGGCUCGAUUCGCAGUCAGGAUUUUAAGAUCGGGGGUGGUCGAUUUAUUUCUCCGAUGGCAACUGUUUUCACAAAACGCGCCAGACGGACGGCAAAGAGCGCCUUUUCUUUCAGACUGCCCUACAAAAGGCCACGAGCCACCGCACAGAAACUGAGCAUUAUUUUUAGGUCAAAUAUUUGUCUCGGAGGGACCAAAGCCGGUCAAGCAGAGAGGAGAAGCGAGCCUCGCCCCUAAGCCCUAAUAUGCUCCAGGGCGGGGCGCCGAGCUGAGCGGAGGAGGGAACUAUAUUUCCCGCGGAGGGGCACACAGCAGUGGCCACACACGCCCCAAAACGCGCUGUGUGCUGGUUGCUUAGUUGGCGCGGCCGAGGCUUCUUUCCGCGUUCGUUUUUUGACAAGGAAGCUCUGAUAGGCCAGAGAGACCCUGCAGUGGUUGGCCGGAAAGAGUCGAGCCGCCUGAUUGGUCGCGCUGCACCUGCAAUGCGUCAAACCGCGGCGAGCGAGGAGGGCUCCGCGUGAACGGUCGUGGCUGGCGGGGGAGCCCGCGGCCAGCCGGAGGGAGCGGCUACUCCUAGGGCCGCCAUCUUUACUAGUGGCAGCGCAGACCGCCGCAGACACGGGGGAGCUUUAAGCCUCUGCGACAGAAGUUUUGUUUGGGGUUUCUUUUUCUUUUGCGGCUCCCAUGCAUGGAAGACCAAAGAGAACUGCGAAGGCCUCGGGGGAACUUGCAGAUCUAGAGCUGUACGGAUUUGGGAGGGAGUAGAUCGUCAGCAGCCUGACUCCACGGUGGCUGUGUACCUGGAGGCUGGGACCUGGGCAAGUGACGGCAGUGUCCUGGCCUUGAUGAUGGUCCGCUAUUCCCUGCAAAUGAAGAACUCUCGGGAACUCUCUUCCUGAGCCCUGCCGACAUGAAGAAUGAGCCCCGUCCGCUGAGCCACCAGCUUCCUGCUUGAUCUUCCAAUUCAGGAACACCUAAUUAGGCAGCUCGUUGUCACCUGCAUAAAUCACAGAUCACAGGAUGGCUUUAUUGCUGUGCACUAGCCUGUAUCUUUUGUUCUGUCUUCAGCCCAAGUUUAAUAUUAAUAUUGAUUCAUCAUAUUGAACACUCAACUUAAUUGUGAGCACAUUACAUCUUAGAGUCAACACCAUUGGUUUAGAAUGCGUUACAAAGAAGAUAUGAAUUGUUUCCUAAAUAGCUACGCCUGGGGUUAGUUGCAUAAGUAACAGUAAUUAAGCAAACGCCUGAGAUGAUUACUUACUAAUUAAAAUGUAUUUUAUUUCUCUACUUAAAAUUUACUUUGUAACCAUAUCUGUGAAAACUAUUAAUAGAAGUAUAAAGUGUGCCUAUUAAA